rnacentral:rRNA from 1 species
AACGAACGCUGGCGGCAUGCCUAACACAUGCAAGUCGAACGAGACCUUCGGGUCUAGGGGCGCACGGGUGCGUAACGCGUGGGAACCUGCCCUUAGGUUCGGAAUAACUCCCCGAAAGGGGUGCUAAUACCGGAUAAGGUCUUCGGACCAAAGAUUUAUCGCUGUUGGAUGGGCGCGCGUUGGAUUAGCUAGUUGGUAGGGUAAAAGCCUACCAAGGCGACGAUGCAUAGCUGGUGUGAGAGGAUGACCAGCCACACUGGGACUGAGACACGGCCCAGACUCCUACGGGAGGCAGCAGUGGGGAAUAUUGGACGAUGGGCGCAAGCCUGAUACCGCAAUGCCGGGUAAGUGAUGAAGGCCUUAGGGUUGUAAAGCUCUUUUACCCGGGAUGAUAAUGACAGUACCGGGAGAAUAAGCUCCGGCUAACUACGUG